CUACCUGCAGGUCGAACGAGAAAGUCCGCAAGGAUGAGUAAAGUGGCGUACGGGUGAGUAACACGUUGGAUAACCUGCCCUUUAGUGGGGAAUACCGCUGGGAAACCGGCGACAAUACCGCAUAAGCUCGAGAGAGGAAAGCAGCAAUGCGCUGAAGGAGGGGUCCGCGGCCGAUUAGCUAGUUGGCAGGGUAAAAGCCUACCAAGGCUGUGAUCGGUAGCCGGCCUGAGAGGGCACACGGCCACACUGGCACUGAAACACGGGCCAGACUCCUACGGGAGGCAGCAGUGGGGAAUCUUGCACAAUGGGGGAAACCCUGAUGCAGCGACGCCGCGUGAGCGAUGAAGCCCUUCGGGGUGUAAAGCUGUUUCGGCAGGGACGAUUAUGACGGUACCUGCAGAAGCAGCUGCGGCUAACUACGUGCCAGCAGCCGCGGUAAUACGUAGGCAGCAAGCGUUGUUCGGAGUUACUGGGCGUAAAGGGUGCGUAGGCGGCUUCUUAAGUCUGGUGUGAAAUCUCCCGGCUCAACUGGGAGGGUGCGCCGGAUACUGAGGGGCUAGAGUGUGGGAGAGGAAAGUGGAAUUCCUGGUGUAGCGGUGAAAUGCGUAGAUAUCAGGAGGAACACCGGUGGUGUAAACGGCUUUCUGGACCAUUACUGACGCUGAUGCACGAAAGCGUGGGUAGCAAACAGGAUUAGAUACCCUGGUAGUCCACGCCCUAAACGAUGCAUAUUUGGUGUGGGCCAUUCAUUUGGUCCGUGCCGGAGCUAACGCGUUAAAUAUGCCGCCUGGGGAGUACAGUCGCAAGGCUGAAACUCAAAGGAAUUGACGGGGGCCCGCACAAGCGGUGG
rnacentral:rRNA from 1 species